rnacentral:rRNA from 1 species
AGUGAACGCUGGCGGUAGGCCUAACACAUGCAAGUCGAACGGCAGCACAGUAAGAGCUUGCUCUUACGGGUGGCGAGUGGCGGACGGGUGAGGAAUACAUCGGAAUCUACUUUUUCGUGGGGGAUAACGUAGGAAAACUUACGCUAAUACCGCACACGACCUACGGGUGAAAGCAGGGGAUCUUCGGACCUUGCGCGAUUGAAUGAGCCGAUGUCGGAUUAGCUAGUUGGCGGGGUAAAGGCCCACCAAGGCGACGAUCCGUAGCUGGUCUGAGAGGAUGAUCAGCCACACUGGAACUGAGGCACGGUCCAGACUCCUACGGGAGGCAGCAGUGGGGAAUAUUGGACAAUGGGCGCAAGCCUGAUCCAGCCAUACCGCGUGGGUGAAGAAGGCCUUCGGGUUGUAAAGCCCUUUUGUUGGGAAAGAAAAGCAGCAGGUUAAUACCCCGCUGUUCUGACGGUACCCAAAGAAUAAGCACCGGCUAACUUCGUG